AUUGAACGCUGGCGGAAUGCUUUACACAUGCAAGUCGAACGGCAGCACGGACUUCGGUCUGGUGGCGAGUGGCGAACAGGUGAGUAAUGUAUCGGAACGUGCCCAGUCGUGGGGGAUAACGUAGUGAAAAUUACGCUAAUACCGCAUACGAUCUAUGGAUGAAAGCGGGGAUCGCAAGACCUCGCGCGAUUGGAGCGGCCGAUAUCAGAUUAGGUAGUAGGUGGGGUAAAGGCCCACCAAGCCAACGAUCUGUAGCUGGUCUGAGAGGACGACCAGCCACACUGGAACUGAGACACGGUCCAGACUCCUACGGGAGGCAGCAGUGGGGAAUUUUGACAAUGGGCGAAAGCCUGAUCCAGCCAUUCCGCGUGCAGGAUGAAGGCCCUCGGGUUGUAAACUGCUUUUGUACAGAACGAAAAGGUUUCUACUAAUACUAGGAGCUCAUGACGGUACUGUAAGAAUGAGCACCGGCUAACUACGUGCCAGCCGCCGCCGUAA
rnacentral:rRNA from 1 species